rnacentral:lncRNA from 1 species
UCCCUGUGCAGCGCCCCGUGGGUCCCAGCAGACACAGCACCAUAAUGGGAGACUUCUAGGCCGAGAGGGCAAAAGCUUCAAACAGCAGGCGGCAGCACCAGCUGUGUGGUGGCUGGGAGCUGGUCUAGCCUCCGCCUUCCUUCCAGAAGUCUCCCCAGCAUCCUCAACCAGGUCAGAUCCCCCAGCAUGACUCAACAUCCCUUCGACUUCCCUUCUGCAGCCCUGGCAGGAGCUGUGUUGCAGCGGUGCCUGUUGCAUGUGGAAGUCUCCCUUCAAGGUUUGCAUCAUGGAACUCACCUGGCCCAACCUCUCAGGGAGGAAAAUUCCAACCAGAGAGGGAAAUUUCCCAGUGGCUCCAGCCUCGGGAUCCUGCAACCUGAACACCUACUGGCUUCUUGGGGUCAUCCACCUUCUGCACCGAGAGGUUCUCAAGAGGCCGCUCCUGUACUCUGGGAUGCCUUCUCCUGUCUGCCUGCCCAAAUCCUCGCUGACCUUCAAGUUCCAGCGUCGGGAAGUGCCUGGCCGCAUUUCUUAAAGGUUUUACAAGGAUAGACAUCAUUUCCUCCAAAAGAACACAGAGGGAAUGUUGAGCGCUCCCUUUCCCUACUUCUCCUUCUCAUGAUUAAGCAGGCAUUGUGGCUGUUGAGAUUAAAGCCCCAUGCGGAGAUGCAGGGCACCAGGCUAGAUGGAGCCCAGGUCCCCAGGCAGCGGUGUGGAGAAGACUCAUCAUGUUCACCUGGCCCACCUAUCCAUUUGGACUUUUCAAUAAGAAAUAAAUCAGUUUUGAGAAUGUUUC